rnacentral:lncRNA from 1 species
CUGUGCUCCAAUUUAUCAUUUUUUUCGUGUAAACUUCGUAUAAUCGUCAAUUUUUUUUUCAAUCUGUCAGUGUUGUUGUGAAAAUAUGGCAGGUAAUUAAAGUUCGUGUUCUGAAGCCGAAGUUUAACGAUUGUCACCUGUUUGUCAACAAUUGACGAAAAAUAAACAAAAAAGCAUGGAAAUUGAGCACGUGUUUAACAUGUAAAUUCAGAUAAUAGUUUAUUUUAAGGACAUCCAUGCGUAUUGUGGUCACCGGAUUUUUACGAGAUGGGUCACACUGAGGUCACCUUGCAUACGGAAAAUAUAUCGGGGGAAUUGCUUGCUGGAAGGAAGCAAUUCAAAUAAAGUAAACUUCUUCUAAAUAUGAAUAAAUUAAAGAAUUUUCUUCAGAAAAAAGUAUAUGUACACAAGUUUUACAAUGAAAACUAUCGAUUGAGUUAUAAAAAACAUAUGCAUUAUUUUUUUUUGAUUUGAGGUUUCUUAUGACUUUAA